CGGACGGGUGAGUAACGCGUGGGUAACCUGCCUCAUACAGGGGGAUAACGGUUAGAAAUGACUGCUAAUACCGCAUAAGCGCACAGUACCGCAUGGUACGGUGUGAAAAACUCCGGUGGUAUGAGAUGGACCCGCGUCUGAUUAGCUGUUGGUGAGGUAACGGCCCACCAAGGCGACGAUCAGUAGCCGACCUGAGAGGGUGACCGGCCACAUUGGGACUGAGACACGGCCCAG
rnacentral:rRNA from 1 species